GGGGCCACUAGUUUACCAGUUGUCUGGCAAGGCAAUGCUGGGUAGCCACGCCCUGAAGGAUAAGAGCUGAAAGCAUCUAAGCUCGAAGCCACCCCAAAGACGAGACACCUCAGAACGCUCGUAAAAGACGAGAUGAUAGACAGCGGAUGUAAGUACGAAGCUUCGGCGACGUAUUCAGUCCAGCUGCACUAAUGUUCGAGCAUCUUUUUUC
rnacentral:rRNA from 1 species